GAGGAAUAUUGGUCAAUGGGCGCGAGCCUGAACCAGCCAAGUAGCGUGAAGGAUGACUGCCCUAUGGGUUGUAAACUUCUUUUAUAAGGGAAUAAAGUGAGGCACGUGUGCCUUAUUGUAUGUACCUUAGGAAUAAGCAUCGGCUAACUACGUGCCAGCAGCCGCGGUAAUACGUAGGGUGCGAGCGUUGUCCGGAAUUACUGGGCGUAAAGAGCUCGUAGGUGGUUUGUCGCGUCGUCUGUGAAAUUCCGGGGCUUAACUCCGGGCGUGCAGGCGAUACGGGCAUAACUUGAGUGCUGUAGGGGAGACUGGAAUUCCUGGUGUAGCGGUGAAAUGCGCAGAUAUCAGGAGGAACACCGAUGGCGAAGGCAGGUCUCUGGGCAGUAACUGACGCUGAGGAGCGAAAGCAUGGGUAGCGAACA
rnacentral:rRNA from 1 species